rnacentral:misc_RNA from 1 species
ACCUCCAAAAACCUUACCUCCUUUGAUAAACUUCUUUCCAAACAAACCCACUACUUUAAAAACUCAUACCUUACCUCCAAAAAUUUCCUCCCAAACACACUGUAAAAGGAAAUGGUACAAGAGGUUGCCUAAAUGCGACAAAGGAGAUUCAUAUGAUCAAUGUAACAGCUGAAAAGGAAGCAAAGGCGGCACUGACUAUUUUUGACAUUCUUUUGAAUUGCAAAAAUGGCAUGGCAAUGGAGACAAAUUUUCAAUUAAAAAGUCAUUUAUUUGCAAUUGGUCCCCUUCAUGCACUAUCAGAAAAGAAAAAAAAAUGUAAACUAAAAUGGAUGGAUAGUGCUGGUAUAAUGGGUGAGAUAGUAUUAAAUAAGAUUUGGGUUAACUGAGAUUGAGUAUGGUUUUUGAUGGUAUUAUGGUUUAGAUGUUUUGAGCAAA